rnacentral:rRNA from 1 species
GAUGAACGCUGGCGGCGUGCCUAAUACAUGCAAGUCGAGCGAACAGACGAGGAGCUUGCUCCUCUGACGUUAGCGGCGGACGGGUGAGUAACACGUGGAUAACCUACCUAUAAGACUGGGAUAACUUCGGGAAACCGGAGCUAAUACCGGAUAAUAUAUUGAACCGCAUGGUUCAAUAGUGAAAGACGGUUUUGCUGUCACUUAUAGAUGGAUCCGCGCCGCAUUAGCUAGUUGGUAAGGUAACGGCUUACCAAGGCGACGAUGCGUAGCCGACCUGAGAGGGUGAUCGGCCACACUGGAACUGAGACACGGUCCAGACUCCUAGGGAAGGCAGCAGUAGGGAAUCUUCCGCAAUGGGAGAAAGCAUGACGGAGCAACGCGGCGUGGGUGAUGAAGGUCUUCGGAUCGUAAAACUCUGUUAUUAGGGAAGACAAAUGUGUAAGUAACUAUGCACGUCUUGACGGUACCUAAUCAGAAAGCCACGGCUAACUACGUG